rnacentral:rRNA from 1 species
AAAAAAGGGGUUUCGUUUUCCUUUUUUGAAAGGACCCCGCGGGGUUUUUAACUUAUUUGGGGAGGAAAAAGGCUCCCCCAAGGCAAGGAAAUGGUAGCCCCCCUGGAAGGGGUAAUUGGCCCCCAUUGGGGAUUGAAACCCGGCCCCAGAUUCCUUCGGGAAGCCACCAGUAGGGAAUCUUCCACAAUGGACGCAAUUUUGAUGGAGCAACCCCGCGUGAAUGAAGAAGGGUUUCGGCUCGUAAAGCUCUGUUGUUAAAGAAGAACGUGGGUAAGAGUAACUGUUUACCCAGUGACGGUAUUUAACCAGAAAGCCACGGCUAACUACGUGCCAGCAGCCGCGGUAAUACGUAGGUGGCAAGCGUUAUCCGGAUUUAUUGGGCGUAAAGCGAGCGCAGGCGGUCUUUUAAGUCUAAUGUGAAAGCCUUCGGCUCAACCGAAGAAGUGCAUUGGAAACUGGGAGACUUGAGUGCAGAAGAGGACAGUGGAACUCCAUGUGUAGCGGUGAAAUGCGUAGAUAUAUGGAAGAACACCAGUGGCGAAGGCGGCUGUCUGGUCUGCAACUGACGCUGAGGCUCGAAAGCAUGGGUAGCGAACAGGAUUAGAUACCCUGGUAGUCCAUGCCGUAAACGAUGAUUACUAAGUGUUGGAGGGUUUCCGCCCUUCAGUGCUGCAGCUAACGCAUUAAGUAAUCCGCCUGGGGAGUACGACCGCAAGGUUGAAACUCAAAAGAAUUGACGGGGGCCCGCACAAGCGGUGGAGCAUGUGGUUUAAUUCGAAGCUACGCGAAGAACCUUACCAGGUCUUGACAUCUUCUGACAGUCUAAGAGAUUAGAGGUUCCCUUCGGGGACAGAAUGACAGGUGGUGCAUGGUUGUCGUCAGCUCGUGUCGUGAGAUGUUGGGUUAAGUCCCGCAACGAGCGCAACCCUUAUUACUAGUUGCCAGCAUUAAGUUGGGCACUCUAGUGAGACUGCCGGUGACAAACCGGAGGAAGGUGGGGACGACGUCAAAUCAUCAUGCCCCUUAUGACCUGGGCUACACACGUGCUACAAUGGAUGGUACAACGAGUCGCGAGACCGCGAGGUUAAGCUAAUCUCUUAAAACCAUUCUCAGUUCGGACUGUAGGCUGCAACUCGCCUACACGAAGUCGGAAUCGCUAGUAAUCGCGGAUCAGCAUGCCGCGGUGAAUACGUUCCCGGGCCUUGUACACACCGCCCGUCACACCAUGAGAGUUUGUAACACCCAAAGCCGGUGGGGUAACCUUUUAGGAGCUAGCCGUCUAAGGUGACAGGGAUGGUAC